CAGGCUUAACACAUGCAAGUCGAGGGGCAGCAUUUUAGUUUGCUUGCAAACUGAAGAUGGCGACCGGCGCACGGGUGAGUAACACGUAUCCAACCUGCCGAUAACUCCGGAAUAGCCUUUCGAAAGAAAGAUUAAUACCGGAUAGCAUACGAAUAUCGCAUGAUAUUUUUAUUAAAGAAUUUCGGUUAUCGAUGGGGAUGCGUUCCAUUAGUUUGUUGGCGGGGUAACGGCCCACCAAGACUACGAUGGAUAGGGGUUCUGAGAGGAAGGUCCCCCACAUUGGAACUGAGACACGGUCCAAACUCCUACGGGAGGCAGCAGUGAGGAAUAUUGGUCAAUGGGCGAGAGCCUGAACCAGCCAAGUAGCGUGAAGGAUGAAGGCUCUAUGGGUCGUAAACUUCUUUUAUAUGGGAAUAAAGUUUUCCACGUGUGGAAUUUUGUAUGUACCAUAUGAACAAGGAUCGGCUAACUCCGUGCCAGCAGCCGCGGUAAUACGGAGGAUCCGAGCGUUAUCCGGAUUUAUUGGGUUUAAAGGGAGCGUAGGUGGAUUGUUAAGUCAGUUGUGAAAGUUUGCGGCUCAACCGUAAAAUUGCAGUUGAAACUGGCAGUCUUGAGUACAGUAGAGGUGGGCGGAAUUCGUGGUGUAGCGGUGAAAUGCUUAGAUAUCACGAAGAACUCCGAUUGCGAAGGCAGCUCACUAGACUGUCACUGACACUGAUGCUCGAAAGUGUGGGUAUCAAACAGGAUUAGAUACCCUGGUAGUCCACACAGUAAACGAUGAAUACUCGCUGUUUGCGAUAUACAGUAAGCGGCCAAGCGAAAGCAUUAAGUAUUCCACCUGGGGAGUACGCCGGCAACGGUGAGACUCAAAGGAAUUGACGGGGGCCCGCACAAGCGGAGGAACAUGUGGUUUAAUUCGAUGGUACGCGAGGAACCUUACCCGGGCUUAAAUUGCAACAGAAUAUAUUGGAAACAGUAUAGCCGUAAGGCUGUUGUGAAGGUGCUGCAUGGUUGUCGUCAGCUCGUGCCGUGAGGCGUCGGCUUAAGUGCCAUAACGAGCGCAACCCUUAUCUUUAGUUACUAACAGGUCAUGCUGAGGACUCUAGAGAGACUGCCGUCGUAAGAUGUGAGGAAGGUGGGGAUGACGUCAAAUCAGCACGGCCCUUACGUCCGGGGCUACACACGUGUUACAAUGGGGGGUACAGAAGGCGGCUACCUGGUGACAGGAUGCUAAUCCCAAAAACCUCUCUCAGUUCGGAUCGAAGUCUGCAACCCGACUUCGUGAAGCUGGAUUCGCUAGUAAUCGCGCAUCAGCCAUGGCGCGGUGAAUACGUUCCCGGGCCUUGUACACACCGCCCGUCAAGCCAUGAAAGCCGGGGGUACCUGAAGUACGUAACCGCAAGGAGCGUCCUAGGGUAAAACUGGUAAUUG
rnacentral:rRNA from 1 species